AUCGUUUAGACUUUGGUGCAAUAGAAAGAAUGCUGGAUUGGCCGGGUGUGGUGGCUCACACCUGUAAUCUCAGCACUUUGGGAGGCUGAGGCAGGCGGAUCAUCUGAGGUCAGGAGUUCAAGACCUGCCUGGCCAACAUGGUGAAACCCUGUCUUUAAAAAAAAAAAAAAAAAAAAAAAAAAAAAAAAAAAAAAAGGCAUUUUGUUCUUUUCUUCUCUGUACCUGCAUCACCCUUUAUCUUUGUGUUCCUAGAAUUUGUGAUAGAAAGAACAAUGUGUAGCCAGUGGAUAGCUUAUGGUUUUUUUUAGUGUAAAUUCUUGGUAUACAGUUUAGCAGAAGCCUCUUCUUUUUUCCUGCAAAAAUUCACCAGUGGGCGGGCGCGGUGGCUCAUGCCUGUAUCCUAGCACUUUGAGAGGCCCAGGUCGGCGGAUCACCUGAGGUCAGGAGUUCAAGAGCAGUCUGACCAACAUGGUGAAACCCGUCUCAACUAAAAAUGCAAAAAUGGGCCGGAUGUGAUGGCACAUGCCUGUAACCCCAGCUACUUGGGAGGCUGAUGCGGUAGAACUCCUUCAACCCGGGAGGCGGAGGUUACAGUGAGCCGAGAUGGCUCCAUUGCAUUUCAGCCUGGGCAACAAGAGCGAAAUUCCCUCUCAAAAAAAAAAAAAAUCGUGGCUAACACGGUGAAACCCGUCUCUACUAAAAGUACAAAAAAAAAAUUAGCCGGGAGUGGUGUCAGGUGCCUGUAGUCCCAGCUACUGGGGAGGCUGAGGGAGGAGAAUCGCUUGAACCCGGGAGGCGGAGGUUGCAGUGAGCCGAGAUCGUGCCAGUGAGCCGAGAUCGUGCCAGUGCACUCCAGCCUGGCGACAGAGCGAGGCUCCGUCUAAAAACAACAAUAACAAAAACAAAUUCACUUGUAAUCGCUACAAGUGUUAUGCCUCACGUCUGUAAUUCAAGGCUCGGGCUCCACAAGACAAAAAACUCACUUGAAACUGCUGCUCAUCGUAUAUUAAGGGCAACUUGAAUCGACGCUCCCAGGUUGCAUGCUCCUAGGUUGCAUUCAUCAAACUUGGCCCACAUAAAUUCUCUGCUUAUGUUAACGUUGCCUCAGUUUUUCCUUUAGGUCGACCGUUAUUUCUAAAGUUGUACAAAUGGGUUUAGCUUGCAUUAAAAUAAGGUGUGAGAAGGGCAAAUGAAGCCAGAGGCUCUCAGCACAAUCUUGCAGCCUUCAGAGGCUUCCAAAGGAUAAGCAUUCACUCCAAUAUUCAGCAAGACUGCAGCUC
rnacentral:lncRNA from 13 species